UGGAUCACAACUCGAUUAAAUACUAAGGGUAAAACCCCAGGGGACCGGUCAAACCGGAAAAUUUCGAGUUACAUAGUAGAGUAGACUAAGUAUAAGCUUGGCUAUCAAACUAGAACAAACUUAUACUAGGGGGAAAGAAAACUAUGGAAAUCGUCCACAUAGAGCAGACUCAUAGGCACACUGGCCCGAAAGUAUUAAAAGUUAGAAUACUAUAAGUCUAUUACACAACCAAGUCAAGUUUGCAGAUAAUGAAACAUAAUCAUCAAUCAAUAGAAGGGCCACCAGUACCCAGACCUCCAAGCGAAGCAGCAAGAUCUGCAACCUCGGCAGCCUGCUCAGCUCUCCUCUCCAUCAGCUCGGCAUAAGCCUCAAGCAUCAACGCCCUGUUCCAAGUCCCAGCCCGACCAUCCAAGUAAUCUUGGGCCAUUUGGGCCCUAGCCUGGACUUACCCCCUCAGUACCGACAAAAUCAAGCUUCUCCGUCAAAAAUAAAAUCGUAGAGUAAAUGGCCUCAAGCUGCUUCGCCAAAGUCUUGGCCUGAUCACCCGCUAGGCGCCCAACAUCAAGCUGAGUCUGCAAAUCUACCUUCAAACGUGCAAUCUCCUCAUCACGACUCUUCAAUAUGCCAUCCAACUCAACUUGCUCAGUUCGAAGUUGCUUCGCACUCUUCUCCAGCUCACGGAUCCUCUCCGACAAAUGAAGCACUCCCUGCAAACC
rnacentral:lncRNA from 1 species